rnacentral:rRNA from 1 species
AUGAACGCUGGCGGCGUGCCUAAUCCAUGCAAGUCGAGCGAACAGACGAGGAGCUUGCUCCUCUUACGUUAGCGGCGGACGGGUGAGUAACACUUGGUUAACCUACCUAUAAUACUGGGAUAACUUCGGGAAACCGGAGCUAAUACCGGAUAAUAUAUUUAACCGCUUGUUUCAUUUGUUAUAUACGGUUUUGCUUUCACUUUUUGAUUUAUCCGCGCCUGAUUAGCUAGUUGGUAAGGUAACGGCUUACCAAGGCAACGAUGCGUAGACGACAUGAGAGGGUGAUCGGCCAAACUGGAAGUGAGACAGGGAACAGACACCUACGGGAGGCAGCAGUAGGGAAUAUUACGAAAUGGGCGAAAGCAUGACGGAGCAAAGCCGAGUGAGUGAAGAAGGUCUGCGGAUCGUAAAACGCUGUUAUGAGGGAAGAAAAAAAGUGUAAGUAAAUAUGCACGUAAUGACGGUAACUAAACAGAAAGCAACGGCUAACUACGUG